rnacentral:rRNA from 1 species
GACGAACGCUGGCGGCGCGCCUAACACAUGCAAGUCGAACGAGCGAGAGAGAGCUUGCUUUCUUGAGCGAUUGGCGAACGGGUGAGUAACACGUGAGGAACCUGCCUCUAAGAGGGGGACAACAGUUCGAAACGACUGCUAAUACCGCAUAAGCUCACGUCCCGGCAUUGGGUCGAGGGAAAAGGAGCUACACGCUCUGAGAUGGCGUCGCGUCCGAUCAGCUAGAUGGAGUGGUAACGGCCCAUCAAGGCGACGAUCGGUAUACGGACUGAGAGGCUGAGCGGCCACAUUGGGACUGGGACACAGCCGAGACUCCUACGGGAGGCAGGAGUGGGGAAUAGUGCAAAAUGGGGGGAACCCUGAUGCAGCUACGCCGGGUGGAGGAUGAAGGUAUUCAGAUUGUAAUCUCCUGUUGUUGGGGAAGAUAAUGACGGUACUCAACAAGGAAGUGACGGCUAACUACGUG